UCCAUAUGUUCUUUGGAGGCUAUAAAAUUGUCCAUAUGCACAUGUUUUGCAGUUGCAUUCCUUCCAAAAUUCUUCCUCCUUGGUUUGAAAUCUGUAGGAUAGCCUACCAGUUUGUAACAGACAUCCCUAUUGUGCCCCUUGUACUUGCAGUAAUAACAAUACGACUGAUUCUUCUGCUUAUAACCUCCAGCAUGUGCUUGUCCUGCGCUAUAGCCCACAACAUUAGCUUCAUAACUUGCAUUGGAAGCCAAUGAGUUAG
rnacentral:lncRNA from 1 species